rnacentral:rRNA from 1 species
UGAACGCUGGCGGCAGGCCUAACACAUGCACGUCGAGCGGAUGAAGGGAGCUUGCUCCUGGAUUCAGCGGCGGACGGGUGAGUAAUGCCUAGGAAUCUGCCUGGUAGUGGGGGAUAACGUCCGGAAACGGGCGCUAAUACCGCAUACGUCCUGAGGGAGAAAGUGGGGGAUCUUCGGACCUCACGCUAUCAGAUGAGCCUAGGUCGGAUUAGCUAGUUGGUGGGGUAAAGGCCUACCAAGGCGACGAUCCGUAACUGGUCUGAGAGGAUGAUCAGUCACACUGGAACUGAGACACGGUCCAGACUCCUACGGGAGGCAGCAGUGGGGAAUAUUGGACAAUGGGCGAAAGCCUGAUCCAGCCAUGCCGCGUGUGUGAAGAAGGUCUUCGGAUUGUAAAGCACUUUAAGUUGGGAGGAAGGGCAGUAAGUUAAUACCUUGCUGUUUUGACGUUACCAACAGAAUAAGCACCGGCUAACUUCGUG